ensembl:lncRNA
CCUCCCUCCUGCUGUUAAUUAUCCCAGGAGGCUGUCAGGAAGCCAAGCUAACGCUUGUUCACAAGGCACUUCCAGCAGAAGGCUCCACAAUGCGCUACGCCUUUCAUCCCUGCCACCAACACCUCCGUGAGUCAGGGAGUGAGCGCGUGGGUCAAUGAGCUGUAAGGGCACAGCAGACAGCUUCAAUUCCCACUUCAACAGGAAGAUAUACUCCUUUCCCCACAUCCUGCUCCUCUAACCAACCAGCCUUUGGCUUGUUACUGCUAACUCGCUAUUUACAGCUUAGUGCAGCACUCUGAUUAUACAUGAUUUCAUCUCAGCUGGCCUGAAUUAGUUCACCUCCCCUGGAUGAAAGGCGUGAAAGGAUUUCUCUGAACAAAUCCAAAGACCACCCAUUAAGCACGCCACAUGCACUCCCCUCCUGGUGUACGAGGCAAUAGCUCUCAGACUGUCCUUAAUAUCCCUGUAGCAAAUACUGAAAUUAGUUACAUGGAACAGCACAUUUCAUCAUCUCCGAGCAGAGUUCAGCAGCUGGGAAGGAGGACAGCCAAGCCCAUGAGAGCAGCCAACACGGCACGGACCACCAAGCAGCAUACAGAACGUGUUUAGAGAGCUGCUGAAUAACUAAACAAAAAGCUGAAUAUCAGCAGAGAUUUAGGGAAACGGAGAUGAAGCCACCCAGAUAUGCGUUAGACCAGACUUGCAAGCACUUCAGCUGUUUUAUUUAGAGGAGAACACAACUCACUGGAGAAAGCAAUUUUCAUCUGAUCUGUUUUGUCAAAAAGAGGAAAUUUCUAAACAUUAUUGCAAAACUCCUGGCUCUUGGCUAUCUCUCUGUAUGUAAUGCACAACUGGUAUUCAGCCAAACAGUUGUGAGGACUGCAGUCUCAUGCAAUUCUGUCUAGCUAACGUUAAACAGAUAAUAUCUCUGCAGACUGAACCUCCACCUCUUCCUGACCUCAGGCUUCCCAUCUGUGCAUUCUACAGAGGUUAGAAUAGCCAUAGGAUUUUCCACUUCCAACACAGCAAAAAGCAAAAGCAUACUCUUCACAACAGCUUGUUUAUUCUUCUGAGGGUCCUGCUGCAACCUGUGAUUUUAAGUGUAGCAUUUCUGAAGAAGUACAAUGUACAAACAGCCUUAAAGCAAAUGUGGUGUCUAUUUGGGAUGAGGGCAAGUUUCUUCCAAACGGGAAUUAACAGCAAGCUCUGGAGACCAGCACUGUGAAGGCACACUCUGCUCAAAAGUCAACUGCUGAGUUUGGUAUUGGUUAGAUUUCAACCUGCAUUCAGUUCCGAGGGUGUUUAAACUAAGAACCACCAUCAGAUUUCAGCGAUGAAGGCCAAAGAUCCACUGAAAAUCCCUGCAUAAAUACAGACAGCAAAUCCCAGACCUUUCACAACCCAGCCUUGAUGAACAAGCAGCCAGCUGUACAUCAUAGGUCUCUCACAUCAGCAAUAACAAUUGCCAUUUGCAAGAAUGGCUUUUUAAUAAGAAUACAUUGACAUCUCUACUGCAGCACCAGUUAGAGUAAGUGUUAAAUGAAAACCUACUGCAACAUUAAAGGGCUUCUCCACCUCGUGCAGGAGUAAAGCAAACCUCUCUGUGUCACCCUAUACAUACUUAAGGCAUAAAGGCUUAGGUCCUUCUUGCAUUCUGGGCAGAGAUUAGCUUUCCUGUGCAUUUGCAGAAAAACCUAUUUUAACAGAAGAAAACAGACAGAAGAUGGGUAACCAAGGGCAAAGCCUCUCCCACAAAGCCACACGGCUUCUGACUUCCUCUCCUGCCCAUUAUGAACAACAGCAUGCCCAGAACUUGUCUCCAGGUCUCGGUGCCACCUUCCCACCUCAGCCAUGUUUCUCACAUCACCCAUGUUUGGGCUUUAUCCAUGACUGUGUAUCACAGGAAAAAAACAGACUCCAACAAAUCAAUUAACAACCACGAGAUCACACAGAGAAUUAGCUGAAAAAAAAAAUCCUAAAUAGCUCCUAUUGAACUCAAUUUUUAAGGUUUCAAGGCCCCACAUUUCUACUUUCUCCCAGAUUUUCUUCAGUUCUGAAUAUCUAGAUGUUCAACACCUACUUCAGAAAGAACAACUAAGGUACUCUGGGGCUGAAUUCCUGAACACACAACCUACAGAAAUAGUUACAAAGAGACUGACGGAAUCUGCCCUCUUUUGAACAUAACCUACAGGCACCCAAAUUCAGAGAGCCAGCUUAAUGCUGGGGGUACAGGAAUGACAACUGUUUUUCUUGAAACAUCCUUAAGUGCAACGUUUUAGAGACAUGUAGCACAGCAACUAUUUUAUGUUUUUUCAGCUAGGCUAAGUGUGCACUUGGCAACUUUACUGCUCUCUAUUACAGACCCUUUGGAUGCUCAUAGAACAAGAAAAGUUGGAAGAGACCUCUAAGACCAUGUAGUCCAACCAUCAACCCACGGCCAUCAUGCCCAUUACACCAUGUUCCUAAGUACCACAUUUCCAUAGUUCUCAAACACCUCCAGGGACAGCGACUCCACCAUUUGGGUGGUCCAGUCUCUGAAGCAAGAAUAUCAACAGUCACAGAGCAACAUCCAUUUACCUACCUAUAGCAUGCUCAGAUCAAUUCAAGCUAGCCACACACUUGGCAUGCAUGUUAGCAGUGCCACCACUGAAGAUAAUGUUGGAAUUAAUUUGCAUUAACAGCAGAGGGUAGGCUGGUCCCAAAGAGCACAGAACGUGACCACAGUCUCACGAAUCAAUUAAUGGAAAUAGCCGUAUGCAACGGCAUUAUGGCAGCUCUCAUAACCAACUGAAACACUCAUAGUUCACAAAGUCAGAAACAAUUUAAGCCCAGAGUUUAAUUUAGG